rnacentral:rRNA from 1 species
CAGUCGCCGCGGUAAUACGUAGGGCGCAAGCGUUGUCCGGAAUUAUUGGGCGUAAAGAGCUCGUAGGCGGUCUGUCGCGUCUGGUGUGAAAUCCCGAGGCUCAACCUCGGGCUUGCAUCGGGUACGGGCAGACUAGAGUGCGGUAGGGGAGACUGGAAUUCCUGGUGUAGCGGUGGAAUGCGCAGAUAUCAGGAGGAACACCGAUGGCGAAGGCAGGUCUCUGGGCCGCAACUGACGCUGAGGAGCGAAAGCAUGGGGAGCGAACAGGAUUAGAUACCCGUGUAGUCCCUGUCUCUUAUAC